rnacentral:rRNA from 1 species
AUUGAACGCUGGCGGCAUGCCUUACACAUGCAAGUCGAACGGCAGCACGGGAGCAAUCCUGGUGGCGAGUGGCGAACGGGUGAGUAAUGUAUCGGAACGUGCCCAGUCGUGGGGGAUAACGUAGCGAAAGCUACGCUAAUACCGCAUACGAUCUAUGGAUGAAAGCGGGGGACCGUAAGGCCUCGCGCGAUUGGAGCGGCCGAUAUCAGAUUAGGUAGUUGGUGGGGUAAAGGCCUACCAAGCCGACGAUCUGUAGCGGGUCUGAGAGGACGACCAGCCACACUGGGACUGAGACACGGCCCAGACUCCUACGGGAGGCAGCAGUGGGGAAUUUUGGACAAUGGGCGCAAGCCUGAUCCAGCAAUGCCGCGUGCAGGAUGAAGGCCUUCGGGUUGUAAACUGCUUUUGUACGGAACGAAAAGGUCCUGGUUAAUACCUGGGGAUCAUGACGGUACCGUAAGAAUAAGCACCGGCUAACUACGUGCCAGCAGCCGCAGUAAAAC